UACAGAGGUCCCGAGCGUUGUUCGGAUUCAUUGGGCGUAAAGGGUGCGUAGGCGGCGGGGCAAGUCUGAUGUGAAAUCCUGGGGCUCAACCCCGGAACUGCAUUGGAUACUGCCUUGCUAGAGUACUGGAGAGGAAACUGGAAUUUACGGUGUAGCAGUGAAAUGCGUAGAGAUCGUAAGGAAGACCAGUGGCGAAGGCGGCUUCCUGGUCUGCGACUGACGCUGUGGCGCGAAAGCUAGGGGAGCAAACGGG
rnacentral:rRNA from 1 species